GCUACAUAGGGUAAACGUGCAGAAAAAUAUAUAGAACUCAUGACUCAAAAAUAGAGAGGAGUUUUUAAUUUAUUUGUGUAAUUUCUUUUAAAGUAUUGUGUUUUGUAUUUCUUGGGAAAUUUCUGCAAGUAACUUAUGGAUUAAAAUCAUAUGUUGCAGUUUGGCUAGACAAGGAAUGUAACUUAUAUGAACUCGGGAAAAAUUGGGAAACUUUUUUCCAAAGUUAAAGAAGUUCGAAAUUGAUGCUUCGAAGUGUUGUGUAUCAAUCAUAUUUGUACCCCUUUUUUUUUUUGUUACAUUUAUUCUUUUCUUAGUAUUUUAAAUUUGAGAUGAUGAUAGAGUAUAUGAAUUUGGUUGUGAUUUUUGUAAUUUCAAUUUUGAUGUGUUUGGUUGAAUGUAUAUAUUUUUUGAAACAGGGUUUGAAUAUAUUUUGGAGAAUUCUAACUAGUAGCAAAUAAAAUAUUAUUGCUGAA